UGAUGCACAAGCAGUACUCUGAUCCUUGCAGUACUUGACUGGUCACAGCCUGUCAACCUAAAAAUGACCCAUUUAUCCUGACUGUUUGCUUUCUGCCUGUUAACCACUCCUCAUUCAAUGCGCUGUGACCCAGUUGAAUGGCAUUCCAAAACCGGCCUGCUCAGUUGUGAACCUUUACAGUUUCCACCCCCAGAAGCCAGAUCCUGAACCUCUGAAGAUGAGAGUACUAAGGCAAAGCUGCCUCCUGCAAUCUCCCACCAGCUCAGGGACUGACACCUCACUGGCAAUGUUAAUCUUCGAAAAUGUGGGACAGCAAUCUGGU